rnacentral:tRNA from 1 species
UACAUAUUAUAUGAUUUGCUCAUAUAUAGAAUAGAUACCUAGGGUUGGAACAAAAAAACAUUUAGUAGUCAAUAAUACAUAAUAUCAAGAUAAUAGGAAAUCUAACCAUAAUACAU